UACGUAGGGACCGAGCGUUGUCCGGAAUCAUUGGGCGUAAAGAGCGUGUAGGCGGCUAUUUAAGUCCUGCGUGAAAUCCUGCGGCUCAACCGCAGACGGUCGUGGGAAACUGGAUGGCUAGAGUGCGGGAGAGGAGAGUGGAAUUCCCGGUGUAGCGGUGAAAUGCGCAGAUAUCGGGAAGAACACCCGUGGCGAAGGCGGGUCUCUGGGCAACAACUGACGCUGAGGAGCGAAAGCGUGGGGAGCGAACAGG
rnacentral:rRNA from 1 species